rnacentral:lncRNA from 1 species
GGCGACUACGGGUGGGACACGGCGGGGCUCUCCGCGGACCCGGAGGCGUUCGCGAGGAACAGGGCGCUGGAGGUGAUCCACGGCCGGUGGGCGAUGCUCGGCGCGCUGGGCUGCAUCACGCCGGAGGUGCUCGAGAAGUGGGUGCGCGUCGACUUCAAGGAGCCCGUGUGGUUCAAGGCCGGCGCCCAGAUCUUCUCCGACGGCGGCCUCGACUACCUCGGCAACCCCAACCUGGUGCACGCCCAGAGCAUCCUCGCCGUGCUGGGAUUCCAGGUCGUCCUCAUGGGCCUCGUCGAGGGCUACCGCAUCAACGGCCUCCCCGGCGUCGGCGACGGCAACGACCUCUACCCCGGCGGCCAGUACUUCGACCCGCUCGGCCUCGCCGACGACCCCGUCACCUUCGCCGAGCUCAAGGUCAAGGAGAUCAAGAAUGGCCGCCUCGCCAUGUUCUCCAUGUUCGGCUUCUUCGUCCAGGCCAUCGUCACCGGCAAGGGCCCCUUGGAGAACCUGCUCGACCACCUCGCCGACCCCGUCGCCAACAACGCCUGGGUCUACGCCACCAAGUUCACGCCGGGCUCGUGAAUGGCCCAGCCGCCAUUGUAGACUACUCUCUCUCUCCAUCGCUCGAUGUACCAAUGCUUGCACAGAUUGUACGAUGCU